rnacentral:rRNA from 1 species
UGGGGAAUAUUGGACAAUGGGGGGAACCCUGAUCCAGCCAUGCCGCGUGUGUGAAGAAGGCCUUAUGGUUGUAAAGCACUUUAAGCGAGGAGGAGGGUACUGGUAUUAAUACUACCAGGUACUGGACGUUACUCGCAGAAUAAGCACCGGCUAACUCUGUGCCAGCAGCCGCGGUAAUACAGAGGGUGCGAGCGUUAAUCGGAUUUACUGGGCGUAAAGCGUGCGUAGGCGGCUAAUUGAGUCGGAUGUGAAAUCCCCGAGCUUAACUUGGGAAUUGCAUUCGAUACUGGUUAGCUAGAGUGUGGGAGAGGAUGGUAGAAUUCCAGGUGUAGCGGUGAAAUGCGUAGAGAUCUGGAGGAAUACCGAUGGCGAAGGCAGCCAUCUGGCAUAACACUGACGCUGAGGUACGAAAGCAUGGGGAGCAAACAGG